UACGUAGGGUGCGAGCGUUGUCCGGAAUUAUUGGGCGUAAAGGGCUCGUAGGCGGUUUGUCACGUCGGGAGUGAAAACUCGGGCUCAACCCCGAGCCUGCUUCCGAUACGGGCAGACUAGAGGUAUGCAGGGGAGAAUGGAAUUCCUGGUGUAGCGGUGAAAUGCGCAGAUAUCAGGAGGAACACCGGUGGCGAAGGCGGUUCUCUGGGCAUUACCUGACGCUGAGGAGCGAAAGUGUGGGGAGCGAACAGG
rnacentral:rRNA from 1 species